UACGAGGGGGGCAAGCGUUAUUCGGAAUUAUUGGGCGUAAAGGGCGCGUAGGCGGCUUGGCAAGUGGAAGGUGAAAUCCCUCGGCUUAACCGAGGAACUGCCCUCCAAACUGCUUCGCUUGAGACCGGGAGAGGUGAGUGGAAUUCCCAGUGUAGCGGUGAAAUGCGUAGAUAUUGGGAGGAACACCAGUGGCGAAGGCGGCUCACUGGACCGGUACUGACGCUGAUGCGCGAAAGCGUGGGGAGCAAACGGG
rnacentral:rRNA from 1 species